UAACACGUAUGGGGCGAGCGUUGUUCGGAAUUAUUGGGCGUAAAGGGUGCGCAGGCGGUUCAAAAAGUCUGGUGUUAAAUCCCGCAGCUUAACUGCGGACAGGCAUCGGAAACUGUUGGACUAGAGUUCUGGAGGGGUAGCUGGAAUUCCAGGUGUAGGGGUGAAAUCUGUAGAUAUCUGGAAGAACAUCAAUGGCGAAGGCAAGCUACUGGCCGUGAACUGACGCUGAGGCACGAAAGUAUGGGGAGCAAACAGG
rnacentral:rRNA from 1 species